rnacentral:rRNA from 1 species
ACGACGUUGUUAGGUCGGGUGUGAAAGCGCAGUGGUGCGUUGAGCUAACCGGUACUAAUGAACCGUGAGGCUUAACAUUAAAACGCCGAAGAUGGUUU